rnacentral:sRNA from 1 species
GCCAUUCUCUAAUCUUGAGUACCCAGGGACACGAUACACUGCGGAAGGCUGCAGGGACCUCUGCCCAGGAAAGCCAGGCUUGCAUGAAGGAAAUGAUUUCCUAUGAUUCUGCUUACUGCUUAAAAAAAAUUAAUCAAGUUUUCUGCCUGACAAGAUCCAGUAUCUGCCGGAGGAGCCCCACCUUCUGCUACUAUUAUGUUCUUCAGAUGAGUAGAAGAGAGUGGGGAGGGAGAGAGCAGGAAGAAGAAAGGAAGAAUAAUGUCUUGAAAUUGUUUUCUAAGGAUAAUGGUCUCCAGCUUCGUCAAUGUUCCUGCAAAGGACAUGAUGCUGACUUUGAAGAUGCAAGCUUCCACAUCUACAGCCUCAAGGAAACAAAUUCAGCCAACCAACUGAGGGAGCUUUCCUUGUCCUGCCUCAAGAUGAGAUCACAGUCUGCCCAACACCAUGAUUUAAGCCUUGUGACACCUGAGCUCAGAUGGAAAAGAAUGGUGUUACUGAGACCCUUCAAGAUUCCCAGUGUAAUUCAAUAAAGAAAAGGCAACACAAAGGGGUUGUAUAGAAUUCGCCACAUUAUGGACCCAUGUCAUAGAGAGAAUCCACGGUGCAUUUGUUAGCUGCAUUUAAAUUACAACACUUUCAGAUCCAAGAUUUAUUUGGGAUAAAAAUUUACCUGGAUGCAAGGCUAUUCAGAAUGAAGAUUAAUGAUAUGGUUUGGCUGUGUCCCCACCCAAACUUCAUCUUGAAUUCCCACGUGUUGUGAGAGGGACCUGGUGGGAGAUAAUUGAACCAUGGGGGCAGGUCUUUCUCAUGCUGUUCUCAUGAGAGUGAAUAAGUCUCAUGAAACCUGAUGGUUUUAUAAGGGGGAAUUUCCCUGCACAAGCUCUCUCUCUGCCUUUUGCCAUCCAUGUAAGACGUGACUUGGUCCUCCUUGCCUUCUACCAUGAUUAUGAGGCCUCCCCAGCCACGUGGAACUGUGAGUCCAUUAAACCUCUUUCUUUUGUAAA